GAUCAUGGCUCAAGAACGAACGCUGGCGGCAGGCCUAACACAUGCAAGUCGAGCGCCCCGCAAGGGGAGCGGCGGACGGGUGAGUAACGCGUGGGAACGUACCCUUUGCUACGGAAUAGCCUCGGGAAACUGGGAGUAAUACCGUAUGUGCCCUUCGGGGGAAAGAUUUAUCGGCAAAGGAUCGGCCCGCGUUGGAUUAGGUAGUUGGUGGGGUAAUGGCCUACCAAGCCGACGAUCCAUAGCUGGUUUGAGAGGAUGAUCAGCCACACUGGGACUGAGACACGGCCCAGACUCCUACGGGAGGCAGCAGUGGGGAAUCUUAGACAAUGGGCGCAAGCCUGAUCUAGCCAUGCCGCGUGAGCGAUGAAGGCCUUAGGGUUGUAAAGCUCUUUCAGUGGGGAAGAUAAUGACUGUACCCACAGAAGAAGCCCCGGCUAACUCCGUG
rnacentral:rRNA from 1 species